rnacentral:rRNA from 1 species
GUGGCGCACGGGUGCGUAACGCGUGGGGAUCUACCAUAGGGUGCGGAAUAACUCAGAGAAAUUUGAGCUAAUACCGCAUAAUGUCUUCGGACCAAAGAUUUAUCGCCCUUUGAUGAACCCGCGUAGGAUUAGCUUGUUGGUGAGGUAAGAGCUCACCAAGGCGACGAUCUUUAGCUGGUCUGAGAGGAUGAUCAGCCACACUGGGACUGAGACACGGCCCAGACUCCUACGGGAGGCAGCAGUGGGGAAUAUUGGACAAUGGGCGAAAGCCUGAUCCAGCAAUGCCGCGUGAGUGAUGAAGGCCUUAGGGUUGUAAAGCUCUUUUACCAGGGAUGAUAAUGACAGUACCUGGAGAAUAAGCUCCGGCUAACUCCGUGCCAGCAGCCGCGGUAAUACGGAGGGAGCUAGCGUUGUUCGGAAUUACUGGGCGUAAAGCGCGCGUAGGCGGUUACUCAAGUCAGAGGUGAAAGCCCGGAGCUCAACUCCGGAACUGCCUUUGAAACUAGGUGACUAGAAUCUUGGAGAGGCGAGUGGAAUUCCGAGUGUAGAGGUGAAAU